GGAUCUAUGAUGAUACCCAGUCAAACAUUCCUUGGAAAAGCUGAACAAAAUGAGUGAAAACUCUUUACCGCCACUCUCUUCGGAACUGAGGUCC
rnacentral:snoRNA from 2 species